rnacentral:rRNA from 1 species
AGUAACACGUAUCCAACCUGCCGUCUACUCUUGAGCAGCCUUCUGAAAGGAAGAUUAAUACAAGAUGGCAUCAUGAGUCCGCAUGUUCACAUGAUUAAAGGUAUUCCGGUAGACGAUGGGGAUGCGUUCCAUUAGAUAGUAGGCGGGGUAACGGCCCACCUAGUCUUCGAUGGAUAGGGGUUCUGAGAGGAAGGUCCCCCACAUUGGAACUGAGACACAGUCCAA